rnacentral:lncRNA from 1 species
AUGCCAAGACGCACAGUUAGCACCUCCGACGAGACCGCGGCGGGCGGACGGAGCCGACCCGACUGCUCCUGGGCUGCCCGCUGUCUACAUGUCCAUUCCCCCGCCAACACCGCGACACCAAGUGGGGCCCCGGGGGCCUGCCUCCCGCCUUGCAGGGCUCCCUGGGCUCUGGCGGCCUCGCUCCUGCUGCAGGAAUCAGUCUGGUGCGCGCAGGAGCCGCAGCGCCCGAACACGACCGGCCGCCGGGAGUGGAGCCGGAGGGCUGGCGGCCGGGCGCUGCAGUCGUCAGGGCCCGGCGCUGUGCCCGGGCCGAGGCUCCGCGGGGACAGCGGGGGCGGGCCGGGCCGGACUGGGCAGGGCGCGCCCGCACCCCCAAGCGUGACCCCGCCCCACCCGCCCGGGUCCGCCCCGCCUCCUGCCAUCCCAUCCCCCUUCCUCGGGAAGCCGCCCGGGCCCCGGUCGCGGCCAGACCCUAGUGCCCCCGUCGACCCCUCCACUUGCCCGGAAGUUUGCGUCCCGCCCGCUCGGCCUGGGGGCUCCAGGGCCAGAGAAGCGCCGAGUCUAUCUGCCAGCGGCCUGCCAACCGCUUCGGUGUGUGUGGCAGCCUGCCUGCGGCCCCUCUGCGGCUCAGCCCCCGACAGCCAGGUCGCCCUGCCGCGCCGAGACCACCGGCUGAGACAGCCGAGGACCCCGAGCUCGGGGCUCCUGGGGCCGCCGCGGGGCCUGCCGGGAGUUGUAGUCUGCAGCCCGCUCUCGCCGGAUCCGGAGGGGCGGGUCCGAACCACAACUCCCAGGAGGCCCAGCAGCGGCGGUGACGCACGCGGCCGCAGGAGGCGGGGCGUGAGGGAGGGAGUCCCGGCCCGUGCCCCGACAGCGACGGGGAAGCCUCCUGCUCUGCUCCCGGGAAGGGCCCGGGCUCGCCUCCGCGCCAAAUGCGGACGGAGGGCGCGUUCACGCCGGGCAGCGUGUGGUACACGUUGUCAAAAGGCGGCGGCCUCGGCGGACCUGUCACCACGCCGGGGACCGGGAGCGCGGAGCCGAGCAGCGUGA